rnacentral:rRNA from 1 species
GACGAACGCUGGCGGCGUGCCUAAUACAUGCAAGUAGAACGCACAGUUUAUACCGUAGCUUGCUACACCAUAGACUGUGAGUUGCGAACGGGUGAGUAACGCGUAGGUAACCUGCCUGGUAGCGGGUGAUAACUGUUGGAAACGAUAGCUAAUACCGCAUAAUAUUGAUUAUUGCAUGAUAAUUAAUUGAAAGGUGCAAUUGCACCACUACCAGAUGGCCCUGCGUUGUAUUAGCUAGUAGGUGAGGUAACGGCUCACCUAGGCCAAGGUACAGAGCCCACCUGGGAAGGUGGUCGGCCAAACUGGGACUGGGACACGGCCCAGGACCCUACGGGAGGCAGCAGGAGGGGAACUUCGGCAAAGGACGGAAGGCUGACCGAGGAAAGCCGGGGGAGUGAAGGAGGUUUUCGGGUCGUAAAGCUCGGUUGUAAGGGAAGAACGGGUGUGAGAGUGGAAAGUUCACACUGUGACGGUAUCUUACCAGAAAGCGACGGCUAACUACGUG